rnacentral:rRNA from 1 species
GAACUGAAGAGUUUGAUCAUGGCUCAGAUUGAACGCUGGCGGCAGGCCUAACACAUGCAAGUCGAGCGGAUGACAGGAGCUUGCUCCUGAAUUCAGCGGCGGACGGGUGAGUAAUGCCUAGGAAUCUGCCUGGUAGUGGGGGACAACGUUUCGAAAGGAACGCUAAUACCGCAUACGUCCUACGGGAGAAAGCAGGGGACCUUCGGGCCUUGCGCUA